AUUUGCAUUUUUACAAUUUGUAUUUUAGCUGGUAACAUGCUUCGUUUGAUUAUUGACAAAAAGUAGUGUAUAAAGCAAGCAUUCACCUUGUGAUAUAAUUUUUAUGUCAAUACGAUGGCACAUUUGUCCAUUUAGUAAGAACUUCAGAGUUCAUUUUUGCAAUUUGUAAAGGAUACAAAAGGGAACCGGUGAUAACAGAACAUUCACAACCUCUAGAAACUGAGGACCAGGAAGAGACUCUGUGCAAACCUUCAGUAAUGGCUUCCUCAAGCAGUGUACUGAGUGAAAACUUGUCUGGAGCUGUCCACUGAUCCCAUGAUGACCCCAUGUGGACAUAACUUCUGUAAGGCCUGCCUGCUGAAGGAAUGCUGGGAAAGCAGUCAUGAUAACACGUGUGCAUUUCACCAAGAGAGUGGAUCUUAGAGAUACUGAGCAGCUGUUGAGCAACUGGAGCCUCAUGAGAAAGUCGUAAACAUAAAGGAAGUCAUGAUGAUUGACCUUGUGGAGGAUAUCAAUCCUAAAAUGAUGCAGAAACAUAACAGAGCUCUGGAGAUGUUCUGUGGAGAUGAUCAGAUAUCUGUGUGUCAGUCUUGCACUGAGGGAGACCACAAGACCCACAAUACUGUUCUUGUAGAAGACAAGAGUAAAGAGAAGACGGUAACAAAGAAUGAUCAUUUAUUUAUAACAACAACAAAAGAUGACACUUUCUGAGCACUGGGUGAAGACCAGGAUGCAAUAUUUCAUUUCUGCUUCAUCCUCUUGGAUCUACAGGAUGUGCCCUUUGCUGACAAAUUUAGUAACCUUUCUUUUUAACCAAUAAUUUCAUUAAUGUAUUUAGAAAACUUAAAAUUAUAUUAUCACAGAAUUUAGUCCACAUUGUUAUUUGGG
rnacentral:lncRNA from 1 species